rnacentral:rRNA from 1 species
GGGUUGUGAGGUUAAGCGACUAAGCGUACACGGUGGAUGCCCUGGCAGUCAGAGGCGAUGAAGGACGUGCUAAUCUGCGAUAAGCGCCGGUAAGGUGAUAUGAACCGUUAUAACCGGCGAUUUCCGAAUGGGGAAACCCAGUGUGACUCGUCACACUAUCAUUAACUGAAUCCAUAGGUUAAUGAGGCGAACCGGGGGAACUGAAACAUCUAAGUACCCCGAGGAAAAGAAAUCAACCGAGAUUCCCCCAGUAGCGGCGAGCGAACGGGGAGGAGCCCAGAGCCUGAAUCAGCAUAUGUGUUAGUGGAAGCGUCUGGAAAGGCGCGCGAUACAGGGUGACAGCCCCGUACACAAAAGCGCAUGUGCUGUGAGCUCGAUGAGUAGGGCGGGACACGUGGUAUCCUGUCUGAAUAUGGGGGGACCAUCCUCCAAGGCUAAAUACUCCUGACUGACCGAUAGUGAACCAGUACCGUGAGGGAAAGGCGAAAAGAACCCCGGCGAGGGGAGUGAAAAAGAACCUGAAACCGUGUACGUACAAGCAGUGGGAGCACCCUUUGGGGUGUGACUGCGUACCUUUUGUAUAAUGGGUCAGCGACUUAUAUUCUGUAGCAAGGUUAACCGAAUAGGGGAGCCGGAGGGAAACCGAGUCUUAAUUGGGCGUUAAGUUGCAGGGUAUAGACCCGAAACCCGGUGAUCUAGCCAUGGGCAGGUUGAAGGUUGGGUAACACUAACUGGAGGACCGAACCGACUAAUGUUGAAAAAUUAGCGGAUGACCUGUGGCUGGGGGUGAAAGGCCAAUCAAACCGGGAGAUAGCUGGUUCUCCCCGAAAGCUAUUUAGGUAGCGCCUCGUGAAUUCAUCUCCGGGGGUAGAGCACUGUUUCGGCUAGGGGGCCAUCCCGGCUUACCAACCCGAUGCAAACUGCGAAUACCGGAGAAUGUUAUCACGGGAGACACACGGCGGGUGCUAACGUCCGUCGUGAAGAGGGAAACAACCCAGACCGCCAGCUAAGGUCCCAAAGUCAUGGUUAAGUGGGAAACGAUGUGGGAAGGCCCAGACAGCCAGGAUGUUGGCUUAGAAGCAGCCAUCAUUUAAAGAAAGCGUAAUAGCUCACUGGUCGAGUCGGCCUGCGCGGAAGAUGUAACGGGGCUAAACCAUGCACCGAAGCUGCGGCAGCGACACUAUGUGUUGUUGGGUAGGGGAGCGUUCUGUAAGCCUGUGAAGGUGGCCUGUGAGGGUUGCUGGAGGUAUCAGAAGUGCGAAUGCUGACAUAAGUAACGAUAAAGCGGGUGAAAAGCCCGCUCGCCGGAAGACCAAGGGUUCCUGUCCAACGUUAAUCGGGGCAGGGUGAGUCGACCCCUAAGGCGAGGCCGAAAGGCGUAGUCGAUGGGAAACGGGUUAAUAUUCCCGUACUUGGUGUUACUGCGAAGGGGGGACGGAGAAGGCUAUGUUGGCCGGGCGACGGUUGUCCCGGUUUAAGCGUGUAGGUGUGUGUUCCAGGUAAAUCCGGUUCACUUUAACACUGAGGCGUGAUGACGAGGCACUACGGUGCUGAAGCAACAAAUGCCCUGCUUCCAGGAAAAGCCUCUAAGCAUCAGGUAACAUCAAAUCGUACCCCAAACCGACACAGGUGGUCAGGUAGAGAAUACCAAGGCGCUUGAGAGAACUCGGGUGAAGGAACUAGGCAAAAUGGUGCCGUAACU